AUCACUUCUUGGCCUUUUGGCUAAGAUCAAGUGUAGUAUCUGUUCUUAUCAUUUAAUAUGUGUAGAUUACCCUCCUUAUUCCAGAAAAUAAAGAUAUUUUUGAAUAAUGAAAAAAU
rnacentral:snRNA from 1 species